AUUGAACGCUGGCGGCAUGCCUUACACAUGCAAGUCGAACGGUAACAGGUUAAGCUGACGAGUGGCGAACGGGUGAGUAAUAUAUCGGAACAUACCUUGUAGUGGGGGAUAACUAUCCGAAAGGAUAGCUAAUACCGCAUACGCUCUAAGGAGGAAAGCGGGGGAUCGUAAGACCUCGUGCUAUAAGAGUGGCCGAUAUCUGAUUAGCUAGUUGGUGAGGUAAAGGCUCACCAAGGCGACGAUCAGUAGCUGGUCUGAGAGGACGACCAGCCACACUGGAACUGAGACACGGUCCAGACUCCUACGGGAGGCAGCAGUGGGGAAUUUUGGACAAUGGGGGCAACCCUGAUCCAGCAAUGCCGCGUGAGUGAAGAAGGCCUUCGGGUUGUAAAGCUCUUUUGUCAGGGAAGAAACGGUUGUGGCUAAUAUCCAUGGCUAAUGACGGUACCUGAAGAAUAAGCACCGGCUAACUACGUGCCAGCCGCCGCGGUAAAAC
rnacentral:rRNA from 1 species